rnacentral:lncRNA from 1 species
UAUUUUAGUUUCAUUAUAGGGGAUCGACACCCUAUCUUCAACAAAGGGUACUAUAUCCCCUGGUUGCAUCAUUUUCUACAUAGGGUACGACACCCCCUAGUAGCAUUUCAGAGUGAGACAAGCCUCAUUUUAUUACCAACACAGGGUACUACAUUCCCUGGCUGCAUUAUUUUCUACAUAGGGUACGACAUCCCCUAGUAGCAUUUCAGAGUGCCAUAAGCCUCAUUUUAUUGCCAACACAGGGUACUACAUCCCCUGGUUGCAUUAUUUUCUACAUGGGUCCGACAUCCCCUAGUAGCAUUUCAGAAUGCUACGAGCCUCAUUUUAUUACCAAUACAGGGUACUACAUCCCCUGGCUGCAUUAUUUUCUACAUAAGGGUACGACAUCCCCUAGUAGCAUUUCGGAGUUCCACGAGCCUCAUUUUAUUGCCAACACAGGGUACUACAUCCCCUGGCUGCAUUAUUUUCUACUUAGAGUACGAAAUCCCCUGGUAGCAUUUUUGAGUGUUACGAGCCUCAUUUUAUUGCCAACACAGGGUACUACUUCCCCUAGCUGCAUUAUUUUCUACAUAGGGUACGACAUCCCUUAGUUGCAUGUUAGAGUGCCACGAGCCUCAUCUUAUUGCCGACACAUGGUACUACAUCCUUUGGUCGCAUUAUUUCUACCUACAUAGGGUACGACAUCCCCUAGUAGAUGCCACGGGCCUAAUCUUAUUUCCAACACAGGGUACUACAUCCCCUGUUUGCCUCCUUCCUAUUAACACAGGGUAUAACAUUCCCUAUUAUUAUUAAAAAAAACUUUUUCAAUUCUUUAUUCUGCAAUAGCAAUGAUAGUUUAAUGUGUUUUCAAUAACUCACAAAAAUUUCCUUGUGCAAACUGGGGCAGAAAAUUUUUGUUCGUUUUGUUUGUUUGUGUUGGCUAGUAGGUUUUUCUGAAAAGCACGGAUUUGAUAUGCACAAAAAAAGAUUUUAGUUAUUUCCAGAGAAAGUGGAACGUUGAUCUCAAUACCAGCCACAACCAACUUUGGCGUAAUGCAUGCAGAGACAUAAGGUCAAGAUCUUUCUUCCCAUCUUCGGAUCAAGAAACAAGCAUUAUAGAAUAUUUCAUAGUGUGUUGCAUCGAGAGCAUCAAGUUUCAAUCCAAAUUCGCAGGGAGAAGCAAAUCAAAAAUCAAGACAUAUUUCAUAGUGUGUUGCAUCGAGAGCAUCAAGUUUCAAUCCAAAGUCACUGGGAGAAGCAAGCAUGAAAGAAUAUUUCAUAGUCUGUAGCAUCGAGAGCAUCAAGUUUCAAUCCGAAGUCACUAGGAGAAGCAAAUCAAGAAUCAAGACAAGUCUCCAGAUGGCAUUUAUAUAGGAAUUUUUGUAACUCUUAGAUUUCAAGAGUAUGUAAUCUUCUUUUCAUUUUGGUAGUAGGAACCAUGGAUCAGAACCUCGACGGAAUCUCAGUGGACUCUCCAUAUAAGUA